rnacentral:rRNA from 1 species
ACACUCCUACGGGAGGCAGCAGUGGGGAAUUUUGGACAAUGGGCGAAAGCCUGAUCCAGCAAUGCCGCGUGAGUGAAGAAGGCCUUCGGGUUGUAAAGCUCUUUUGUCAGGGAAGAAACGGUGAGAGCUAAUAUCUCUUGCUAAUGACGGUACCUGAAGAAUAAGCACCGGCUAACUACGUGCCAGCAGCCGCGGUAAUACGUAGGGUGCAAGCGUUAAUCGGAAUUACUGGGCGUAAAGCGUGCGCAGGCGGUUUUGUAAGUCUGAUGUGAAAUCCCCGGGCUCAACCUGGGAAUUGCAUUGGAGACUGCAAGGCUAGAAUCUGGCAGAGGGGGGUAGAAUUCCACGUGUAGCAGUGAAAUGCGUAGAUAUGUGGAGGAACACCGAUGGCGAAGGCAGCCCCCUGGGUCAAGAUUGACGCUCAUGCACGAAAGCGUGGGGAGCAAACAGGAUUAGAAACCCCAGUAGUCCC